CCGCUGGGAAGCAGGUUCGAACAGACAAGCUGCAUAACCCUCACAUAGCCACUAGGAAGCAGGAUCGAACACAUAAGCUGCAAUAACUACUCCGGCCACAGAUGGCAGCACCUUUAGACAAGCGUGGAGGGAGGAACUAUUACGUCGCACCGGCCACGCCCACUUGACCCUAUCAAGCUCGACAGAGAGAUUGGAGUGCAGAGCUGUUAGCCAGACCCGCAGAGAGCCUGGGGCUCGAAGUAGCUCUACGGUAUUUCUCUCACACGCGUUAGAUACAAUUCCCUCCCUUCUGCUUCAUAGUUACCAUACCAAAAUGAACCAACGAAGACGGAGGACUACUCUGAGAAAAAAAGUAGAACCACCACUGGGAUCGGUGAUUCUGUGGUUCUUGGAGACUCUGCAUCGCGUCGGAACACCAUGUGUAAAGGACAAUAGGUGGAUUGACACCACAUCUGCUGGGAAGGAGUCAUACCUGCUAUGUUGUCAAAUUGGAUUCGGAAGUAGUGGGUUUGCCUUCAAAUGCCACUAAUGCCGCUGCGACACUUUAAUAAUUUUAACUCUGAUACAUUAUCUUUUGUUUAAUAGUCGCCCUGAUGUGUAUUCAUUACGCACACAUAUGGCUGCAUAAGGCAGAUGCGGCUGAAGACUGUCUCCAUCCCUCCACUUUGCGAUCUAUACCACCAUAUAGGUGGGGAUUGAUCGUAUCCCAGGUACGGCAUCCUGCAAUAAGCCAGUAUGGAAGGCUGGUUAGCCAACGACGGGUAAGAUCCCACCUUGAAGCCCGGGACAACCUAAAACAGGCACAGUCACGAUUACUUGGCAGAGUCAUUGUGAGCAUUGGCUCACUUGAACAUGUAGUGACGAACUGCAAGGGAAAGCCGGCUGAUGAAAGGUGGAGGGGGAACAGGAGUCAGAUAUGUCUGCUCUGGCAGCAGAGGUCGUCUUGAAACGGGGCAUGUCGUUUUAUUUCAUUUUAUUUUACCUUUGUGGUAUAGAAGGC
ensembl:lncRNA